UGUGUUUGCGCAGUCCAACAAGUCCUCCACUGCUGAAAAAUCCUAUUUUGCACGGCUACAUGUAAACGGGAAUAUUGGUGGAAUAUUCACUUUCAUUAGCCAUGUAAACAGCUCAGUCGGAGUAUCUUCCUU